GAUGAACGCUGGUGGCGUGCCUAAUACAUGCAAGUCGAGCGAACGGACGAGAAGCUUGCUUCUCUGAUGUUAGCGGCGGACGGGUGAGUAACACGUGGAUAACCUACCUAUAAGACUGGGAUAACUUCGGGAAACCGGAGCUAAUACCGGAUAAUAUUUUGAACCGCAUGGUUCAAAAGUGAAAGACGGUCUUGCUGUCACUUAUAGAUGGAUCCGCGCUGCAUUAGCUAGUUGGUAAGGUAACGGCUUACCAAGGCAACGAUGCAUAGCCGACCUGAGAGGGUGAUCGGCCACACUGGAACUGAGACACGGUCCAGACUCCUACGGGAGGCAGCAGUAGGGAAUCUUCCGCAAUGGGCGAAAGCCUGACGGAGCAACGCCGCGUGAGUGAUGAAGGUCUUCGGAUCGUAAAACUCUGUUAUUAGGGAAGAACAUAUGUGUAAGUAACUGUGCACAUCUUGACGGUACCUAAUCAGAAAGCCACGGCUAACUACGUGCCAGCAGCCGCGGUAAUACGUAGGUGGCAAGCGUUAUCCGGAAUUAUUGGGCGUAAAGCGCGCGUAGGCGGUUUUUUAAGUCUGAUGUGAAAGCCCACGGCUCAACCGUGGAGGGUCAUUGGAAACUGGAAAACUUGAGUGCAGAAGAGGAAAGUGGAAUUCCAUGUGUAGCGGUGAAAUGCGCAGAGAUAUGGAGGAACACCAGUGGCGAAGGCGACUUUCUGGUCUGUAACUGGCGCUGAUGUGCGAAAGCGUGGGGAUCAAACAGGAUUAGAUACCCUGGUAGUCCACGCCGUAAACGAUGAGUGCUAAGUGUUAGGGGGUUUCCGCCCCUUAGUGCUGCAGCUAACGCAUUAAGCACUCCGCCUGGGGAGUACGACCGCAAGGUUGAAACUCAAAGGAAUUGACGGGGACCCGCACAAGCGGUGGAGCAUGUGGUUUAAUUCGAAGCAACGCGAAGAACCUUACCAAAUCUUGACAUCCUUUGACAACUCUAGAGAUAGAGCCUUCCCCUUCGGGGGACAAAGUGACAGGUGGUGCAUGGUUGUCGUCAGCUCGUGUCGUGAGAUGUUGGGUUAAGUCCCGCAACGAGCGCAACCCUUAAGCUUAGUUGCCAUCAUUAAGUUGGGCACUCUAAGUUGACUGCCGGUGACAAACCGGAGGAAGGUGGGGAUGACGUCAAAUCAUCAUGCCCCUUAUGAUUUGGGCUACACACGUGCUACAAUGGACAAUACAAAGGGCAGCGAAACCGCGAGGUCAAGCAAAUCCCAUAAAGUUGUUCUCAGUUCGGAUUGUAGUCUGCAACUCGACUACAUGAAGCUGGAAUCGCUAGUAAUCGUAGAUCAGCAUGCUACGGUGAAUACGUUCCCGGGUCU
rnacentral:rRNA from 1 species